rnacentral:tRNA from 1 species
UCUAAUAUGGCAGAUUAGUGCAAUGAAUUUAAGAUUCAUAUAUAAAAUAUAUUUUUUUUAUUGGAA